rnacentral:rRNA from 1 species
UGAACGCUGGCGGCAUGCCUUACACAUGCAAGUCGAACGGCAGCACGGGUGCUUGCACCUGGUGGCGAGUGGCGAACGGGUGAGUAAUACAUCGGAACAUGUCCUGUAGUGGGGGAUAGCCCGGCGAAAGCCGGAUUAAUACCGCAUACGAUCUACGGAUGAAAGCGGGGGACCUUCGGGCCUCGCGCUAUAGGGUUGGCCGAUGGCUGAUUAGCUAGUUGGUGGGGUAAAGGCCUACCAAGGCGACGAUCAGUAGCUGGUCUGAGAGGACGACCAGCCACACUGGGACUGAGACACGGCCCAGACUCCUACGGGAGGCAGCAGUGGGGAAUUUUGGACAAUGGGCGAAAGCCUGAUCCAGCAAUGCCGCGUGUGUGAAGAAGGCCUUCGGGUUGUAAAGCACUUUUGUCCGGAAAGAAAUCCUUGGCUCUAAUACAGUCGGGGGAUGACGGUACCGGAAGAAUAAGCACCGGCUAACUACGUGCCAGCAGCCGCGGUAAUACGUAGGGUGCGAGCGUUAAUCGGAAUUACUGGGCGUAAAGCGUGCGCAGGCGGUUUGCUAAGACCGAUGUGAAAUCCCCGGGCUCAACCUGGGAACUGCAUUGGUGACUGGCAGGCUAGAGUAUGGCAGAGGGGGGUAGAAUUCCACGUGUAGCAGUGAAAUGCGUAGAGAUGUGGAGGAAUACCGAUGGCGAAGGCAGCCCCCUGGGCCAAUACUGACGCUCAUGCACGAAAGCGUGGGGGAGCAAACAGGAUUAGAUACCCUGGUAGUCCACGCCCUAAACGAUGUCAACUAGUUGUUGGGGAUUCAUUUCCUUAGUAACGUAGCUAACGCGUGAAGUUGACCGCCUGGGGAGUACGGUCGCAAGAUUAAAACUCAAAGGAAUUGACGGGGACCCGCACAAGCGGUGGAUGAUGUGGAUUAAUUCGAUGCAACGCGAAAAACCUUACCUACCCUUGACAUGGUCGGAAUCCCGCUGAGAGGUGGGAGUGCUCGAAAGAGAACCGGCGCACAGGUGCUGCAUGGCUGUCGUCAGCUCGUGUCGUGAGAUGUUGGGUUAAGUCCCGCAACGAGCGCAACCCUUGUCCUUAGUUGCUACGCAAGAGCACUCUAAGGAGACUGCCGGUGACAAACCGGAGGAAGGUGGGGAUGACGUCAAGUCCUCAUGGCCCUUAUGGGUAGGGCUUCACACGUCAUACAAUGGUCGGAACAGAGGGUUGCCAACCCGCGAGGGGGAGCUAAUCCCAGAAAACCGAUCGUAGUCCGGAUUGCACUCUGCAACUCGAGUGCAUGAAGCUGGAAUCGCUAGUAAUCGCGGAUCACGCAUGCCGCGGUGAAUACGUUCCCGGGUCUUGUACUCACCGCC